rnacentral:rRNA from 1 species
GUCGCUACUACCGAUUGAACGGCUUAGUGAGGUCUUCGGAUUGACUUUGGGGAGCCGGCAACGGCACCUUAUUGUUGAGAAGUUGAUCAAACUUGGUCGUUUAGAGGAAGUAAAAGUCGUAACAAGGUUUCC